rnacentral:rRNA from 1 species
GGAGGAAAAGAAACCAACCGGGAUUGCCUUAGUAACGGCGAGUGAAGCGGCAAAAGCUCAAAUUUGAAAUCUGGCGUCUUCGACGUCCGAGUUGUAAUUUGAAGAAGGUAACUUUGUAGCUGGUCCUUGUCUAUGUUCCUUGGAACAGGACGUCAUAGAGGGUGAGAAUCCCGUGUGGCGAGGAUCCCAGUUAUUUGUAAAGUGCUUUCGACGAGUCGAGUUGUUUGGGAAUGCAGCUCUAAGUGGGUGGUAAAUUCCAUCUAAAGCUAAAUAUUGGCGAGAGACCGAUAGCGAACAAGUACAGUGAUGGAAAGAUGAAAAGAACUUUGAAAAGAGAGUGAAAAAGUACGUGAAAUUGUUGAAAGGGAAGGGCAUUUGAUCAGACAUGGCGUUUGCUUCGGCUUUCGCUGGGCCAGCAUCAGUUUUAGCGGUUGGAUAAAUCCUCGGGAAUGUGGCUCUGCUUCGGUAGAGUGUUAUAGCCCGUGGGAAUACAGCCAGCUGGGACUGAGGAUUGCGACUUUUGUCAAGGAUGCUGGCGUAAUGGUUAAAUGCCGCCCGUCUUGAAACACGGACCAAGGAGUCUAACGUCUAUGCGAGUGUUUGGGUGUAAAACCCGUACGCGUAAUGAAAGUGAACGUAGGUGAGGGCCCGCAAGGGUGCAUCAUCGACCGAUCCUGAUGUCUUCGGAUGGAUUUGAGUAAGAGCAUAGCUGUUGGGACCCGAAAGAUGGUGAACUAUGCCUGAAUAGGGUGAAGCCAGAGGAAACUCUGGUGGAGGCUCGUAGCGGUUCUGACGUGCAAAUCGAUCGUCGAAUUUGGGUAUAGGGGCGAAAGAC